rnacentral:rRNA from 1 species
UACGGGGGGAGCAAGCGUUGUUCGGAUUUACUGGGCGUAAAGGGCGCGUAGGCGGCCACCGCAAGUCGACUGUGAAAUCUCCGGGCUUAACCCGGAAAGGUCAGCCGAUACUGCGGGGCUAGAGUGCAGAAGGGGCAACUGGAGUUCUCGGUGUAGCGGUGAAAUGCGUAGAUAUCGAGAGGAACACCUGCGGCGAAGGCGGGUUGCUGGGCUGACACUGACGCUGAUGCGCGAAAGCUAGGGGAGCGAACGGG